rnacentral:rRNA from 1 species
UACGUAGGCAGCAAGCGUUGUUCGGAGUUACUGGGCGUAAAGGGUGUGUAGGCGGUUUUUUGAGUUUGGUGUGAAAUCUCCCGGCUCAACCGGGAGGGUGCGCCGAAUACUGAAUGACUUGGAGUGCGGGAGAGGAAAGUGGAAUUCCUGGUGUAGCGGUGAAAUGCGUAGAUAUCAGGAGGAACACCGGUGGUGUAGACGGCUUUCUGGACCGUAACUGACGCUGAGACACGAAAGCGUGGGUAGCAAACAGG